GACGAACGCUGGCGGCGUGCUUAACACAUGCAAGUCGAACGGUAAGGCCCUUCGGGGUACACGAGUGGCGAACGGGUGAGUAACACGUGGGUGAUCUGCCCUGCACUUCGGGAUAAGCCUGGGAAACUGGGUCUAAUACCGGAUAGGACUCCGGACUGCAUGGUCUGGGGUGGAAAGCUUUUGCGGUGUGGGAUGGGCCCGCGGCCUAUCAGCUUGUUGGUGGGGUGAUGGCCUACCAAGGCGACGACGGGUAGCCGGCCUGAGAGGGUGACCGGCCACACUGGGACUGAGAUACGGCCCAGACUCCUACGGGAGGCAGCAGUGGGGAAUAUUGCACAAUGGGCGCAAGCCUGAUGCAGCGACGCCGCGUGAGGGAUGACGGCCUUCGGGUUGUAAACCUCUUUCAGCAUCGACGAAGCGAAAGUGACGGUAGGUGCAGAAGAAGGACCGGCCAACUACGUGCCAGCAGCCGCCGCAG
rnacentral:rRNA from 1 species